rnacentral:lncRNA from 1 species
GCUUUCCCGGUCAUCUUCGAUGCUGGUAACCGGAGCCACCGCUCGACGCACCAUCCCUGGAAGAGAGGAACGCCGAACUUGCAUUGCAACUUGAAGCCGAAUCCCAGCUCGACGAAGAUGCUCUGGAGGGACGCAACCGCGCAUAGGGUAGAUAAAACGUACCAAAUCGCUUGAGGAACUGCGCUGGGGGUCGCCACCAGAGGUGACCAAGCUGAAACCGACGCAGGAGCCUCGAAUGACUCGUACGGAGCAAGAAUCCCCGUCGAAGGAAACCCAAUCGAUGAGGAUAGAAC